UGUUAUGAGAUAUCCGUUUAUUAAAAUAUGAUAUCAACGUCCCUCCCAUUUAGAGGAUUAUAUACCAAUAUUUUAAUCCAUGAAUAUCCAUUAGAUAUCGUAAAUGAUCGUAUAAUCCAAAUUCAAACAGCUAGAACUCGACGUAAAUCAUAUGCCCAAAAUCAUAAUCCAUAUCUGUUCAAAUUCGAUUCGAUCCAAUUCAAUUGAAUUCAAUACUUGGCAACAAACUCACAUGCAAGAAUCUGUUCAAUACAGUUCGAAUUUAUCAUCAAUUUGUACGUAUAGAGUUUGGCACGACGCCAUUGUCUUCCAGAUUCGACAAGACAUUAAUCUACAAUAACUUCCCGCGUCAUUUGGUAGAAUUGUACUGAUCUCUCUGAAGUAAAGUUUUCUUUACUGAAUACAUUGGGGAUCAAUAUCUGUUUGAAGCAAGAGAAGGAAAAAAUACGUUACUCUGAUGAGUCUACAUUGAGAAAUCCCAAAAGCCCACUUGCCAGUCUAUGCAGGGUAGAAAGAAGAUUUUUCAAAUUCCUACACUAACCAGUAACCACCAAUGCAAGUUCCUGUGGUCCUGACUUUCUGCAUUUAUUGCAUUUCUGCUUCUUCUGCUUCUUUAUUUAAGAUAGGAAAAGAUAAAGAAUGCUUGAGAGCUUUGUAUAUGUUUCAAUCAACAGUAAAAAGAGUCGAAAUCAUCUAGCAUUCAUUUAUGUUGUAAUCUUCUUUCAAACCCACAUGAGAGAGAAUCUGCUUUCUGUUGGUUUUGUAUGUAAAUGUUAUCCCAUAGAAUUGUCUCUUUUGCUUUCUUUGAAUUUGCACCCACUCCGUCCUAGUUGCUUUCUUUGGACAACAUUCACAUAUUUGGUCUCUCCCCACCUUCCCUAUAACCCAAGAGUCACCUAACUGAGCCUCUAAAUUUAAGGUUCUAACCAUUCUAGCUAUCCCUUUCCAAUCUUCUGCUGGUCCUCUCAAAUUGGGUUAUGGUUGAUUCUGUAGGACAUUUGUUUAGGACCAAAAUGUGACACUGUAACUUUCUUAGCCCUGAACCCAAGGUGCAAGUUGGAAGACAGACCCAUGUGAAGCCCUUGUGAACAAUGCUAACCAGACCCCAGCCUGAUUCUUCCUCUCUUCAUUGCAUCAUCAGAACUUUUAUGUGAUAUUGUUACGCCAUACGUGCAAGAUUCAGAUCAGAUUUCAAAUUUAGAUUUGGCACCUGAUAGCCUCAGCAUUCUCCUAAAUCCUUCGCGAUUUGGCAACAUUAUCUUUACUUGUCUUAAAUUAUUUCUAAGAGUGAAGACUAUCCUUACAAACCAAUAAGCACCGCUUAACUUUGAAGUUCUUAUGACUGAGUCAUACAAAAGUUAGGUGCACGUUGAUAUAGGAAGUAACUUUUGAUUCCUUUAAAGCUUUUCUUAACCAUACUUUUAUAUCCUCACGAUUCCUCUUAUUUAGAUGGGAUAUCGGUUCAUUUAUGUACCGUUCCUAAACUAGUAUAAACAUAAACUUGUAGUUGAAGCAGCCCAAGUUUGCAUUUUCACUUCAUUGUUACGAAAAAUCCAACACAAGAAUCCACUUACAAAGUGCUAGUCUCACAUAGGAAGUUCUUAAAUGGUGCCUUUUGAGUGAAAGAAGGGAGUCUCAACAUCAUUGAAGGUUCCAAAAGGCUUCUUUGCAGGUGUGGUUUCAAUAUCAUACUUAAAACAAACUUCAUUUUAGGAUUUGCUAAACAGAGCUGAAGAAAAAUGUAGUUUUGAUCAUCCAAUGGGGAGCGUAACUAAUCCAUGUAGAGAAGACACUUUCAUUGAAAUCACUUCUAGGCUUGGGAAGUAGAUUUUUUAGCAUUUGAAAGUGAAUGUAAACAUUAUUAUUAUUAUU